rnacentral:rRNA from 1 species
CAGUAGCCGCGGGAACACGUAGGUGGCAAGCGUUGUCCGGAAUUAUUGGGCGUAAAGGGCUCGCAGGCGGUUUCUUAAGACUGAUGUGAAAGCCCCCGGCUCAACCGGGGAGGGUCAUUGGAAACUGGGAAACUUGAGUGCAGAAGAGGAGAGUGGAAUUCCACGUGUAGCGGUGAAAUGCGUAGAGAUGUGGAGGAACACCAGUGGCGAAGGCGACUCUCUGGUCUGUAACUGACACUGAGAGACGAAAGCUAAGGGAGAAAAUGGGAUUAGAUACCCCGGUAGUCCCUGUCUCUUAUAC